AUUAAGUGCAGCCAUGAGUUUUCGUGCCCAACUUUGAUCGUUCGUCUUAUUUGAAAUUUUUUUAUAAUUAGCAUUUUUGUUGUUAUAAAAUGAUAAAACAUGAAUAGUACUUUACUCGUGACUAAUUUUUUUAAUUUUUUUUUAAAAAAUUUCAAAUAAAACGAAUGAUCAAAGUUGGGCGUGAAAAACUAUGGCUGCAGUUAUU
rnacentral:pre_miRNA from 1 species